GACGUAGGGCGCGAGCGUUGUCCGGAUUUAUUGGGCGUAAAGAGCUCGUAGGCGGCUUGUCGCGUCGACUGUGAAAUCCCGCGGCUCAACUGCGGGUCUGCAGUCGAUACGGGCAGGCUAGAGUUCGGUAGGGGGAGACUGGAAUUCCUGGUGUAGCGGUGAAAUGCGCAGAUAUCAGGAGGAACACCCGAUGGCGAAGGCAGGUCUCUGGGCCGAUACUGAC
rnacentral:rRNA from 1 species